rnacentral:rRNA from 1 species
CAUGGCUCAGAUUGAACGCUGGCGGAAUGCUUUACACAUGCAAGUCGAACGGCAGCACGGGCUUCGGUCUGGUGGCGAGUGGCGAACGGGUGAGUAAUAUAUCGGAACGUGCCCAGUCGUGGGGGAUAACGUAGUGAAAAUUACGCUAAUACCGCAUACGAUCUAAGGAUGAAAGCGGGGGAUCGCAAGACCUCGCGCGAUUGGAGCGGCCGAUAUCAGAUUAGGUAGUUGGUGAGGUAAAGGCUCACCAAGCCAACGAUCUGUAGCUGGUCUGAGAGGACGACCAGCCACACUGGAACUGAGACACGGUCCAGACUCCUACGGGAGGCAGCAGUGGGGAAUUUUGGACAAUGGACGCAAGUCUGAUCCAGCCAUUCCGCGUGCAGGACGAAGGCCUUCGGGUUGUAAACUGCUUUUGUACAGAACGAAAAGGUCUCUAUUAAUACUAGGGGCUCAUGACGGUACUGUAAGAAUAAGCACCGGCUAACUACGUGCCAGCAGCCGCGGUAAUACGUAGGGUGCAAGCGUUAAUCGGAAUUACUGGGCGUAAAGCGUGCGCAGGCGGUUAUAUAAGACAGAUGUGAAAUCCCCGGGCUCAACCUGGGAACUGCAUUUGUGACUGUAUAGCUGGAGUGCGGCAGAGGGGGAUGGAAUUCCGCGUGUAGCAGUGAAAUGCGUAGAUAUGCGGAGGAACACCGAUGGCGAAGGCAAUCCCCUGGGCCUGCACUGACGCUCAUGCACGAAAGCGUGGGGAGCAAACAGGAUUAGAUACCCUGGUAGUCCACGCCCUAAACGAUGUCAACUG